GGUUGUAGCUCAGCGGUAGAGCGCUAGCCUAGCAUGUGUGAGGCCCUGGGUUUGAUCCUCAGCACCA
rnacentral:tRNA from 1 species